rnacentral:sRNA from 1 species
GGAUAUAGGUGUGUGCUGGCUGAGAUAUUUGUCACCCCAUUGAUCACCAGGGUGGAUUCAGUUCACUCGGCUGAUCCGGCUGGCUUGCAGGUGUCCCCACCCUCCCCCACUGCUCCACGUGCUUGCCUCCUGAAGCCAAGCGCUCCGUCAAAAAAGUCAGUCUUCCCCGAAAGAAGGGGACCAGUCUUCUGUCCAGGGAAGAUGCUAGAAUCUCUACACAAGCUCCCCCAAACUCCUCAACAUCAGGGGACCCUCCUGUCCUAGUGU